UACGUAGGGUGCAAGCGUUGUCCGGAAUUAUUGGGCGUAAAGAGCUCGUAGGCGGUCUGUUGCGUCGGCUGUGAAAACCCGGGGCUCAACCCGGGCCUGCAGCCGAUACGGGCAGACUAGAGUUCGGCAGGGGAGACUGGAAUUCCUGGUGUAGCGGUGAAAUGCGCAGAUAUCAGGAGGAACACCGGUGGCGAAGGCGGGUCUCUGGGCCGAUACUGACGCUGGAGGAGCGAAAGCGUGGGGAGCGAACAGG
rnacentral:rRNA from 1 species